rnacentral:lncRNA from 1 species
GAAAAGGAAGCCAGUGUGCGCAGAAGCAAAGAGGAAUAAAUGCGCAGAAGCCUUCUCAGAGUGGUGUCUCAGCCCUGGAAGCAUUUCUCAAUGUCUCCUGCCUUCUCCUUCAAAAGUGCUCUCCCGAGAGCGCUGAGAUAGACCGGCCUUCGAUUCCGAGGGAAGACACAGGGCUGGUUCUUAGGAAGGCACUGAGUGAGGGCCCGUGGGUGAUGCUCUUUCCCCUGGCUACCAUUCUCUAUCCACUAGAGGUCUACGAGUAUUUUUUUUUUGGACUGCAAUGUUCCCAAGGGUUUCAAAAGCUAUGGUGCCCAGGAAUUAAAGAUUUGCCUGUGUGACACAGCAGGUAACAGACCCCAAAUGCAUGCGUGUUGAGCUCCUACCUUGUUCUGCCUCAUAAGCCCUUGAAGUUGCAUCACCUGACACACGG